AUUGAACGCUGGCGGCAGGCCUAACACAUGCAAGUCGAACGGUAACAGGAAGCAGCUUGCUGCUUCGCUGACGAGUGGCGGACGGGUGAGUAAUGUCUGGGAAGCUGCCUGAUGGAGGGGGAUAACUACUGGAAACGGUAGCUAAUACCGCAUAAUGUCGCAAGACCAAAGAGGGGGACCUUCGGGCCUCUUGCCCUCGGAUGUGCCCAGAUGGGAGUAGCUUGUUGGUGGGGUAACGGCCCACCAAGGCGACGAUCCCUAGCUGGUCUGAGAGGAUGACCAGCCACACUGGGACUGAGACACGGUCCAGACUCCUACGGGAGGCAGCAGUGGGGAAUAUUGCACAAUGGGCGCAAGCCUGAUGCAGCCAUGCCGCGUGUAUGAAGAAGGCCUUCGGGUUGUAAAGUACUUUCAGCGGGGAGGAAGGGAGUAAAGUUAAUACCUUUGCUCAUUGACGUUACCCGCAGAAGAAGCACCGGCUAACUCCGUG
rnacentral:rRNA from 1 species